CAGCCGCCGCGGUAAAACGUAGGGUGCGAGCGUUAAUCGGAAUUACUGGGCGUAAAGCGUGCGCAGGCGGUUUGUUAAGACAGAUGUGAAAUCCCCGGGCUCAACCUGGGAACUGCAUUUGUGACUGGCAAGCUAGAGUAUGGCGGAGGGGGGUGGAAUUCCGCGUGUAGCAGUGAAAUGCGUAGAUAUGCGGAGGAACACCGAUGGCGAAAGCAGCCCCCUGGGCCAAUACUGACGCUCAUGCACGAAAGCGUGGGGAGCAAACAGGAUUAGAUACCCCCGUAGUCCCUGUCUCUUAUAA
rnacentral:rRNA from 1 species